CCAAGGAGGCAGAUCGAGGGCAGGGACAGCACCGGCAGACCUGCUCUGCACUAGAAAGAAUGUGAGUUUUAACCCCCUGGGGCUACAGGAGUGGGGGAGGGAAAGUCACCUAAAUGGUGACUUUAGCACUAUAGGGUUGGGAAUACAUGUUUGUGUUCCUGACCCUAUGUGUUCCUUUAAGACAUGUUAUCAAGAGGCUGUCCCUCAUGUUGCAUGACAACAAAUAUAUUUAUUUUUCCAAGGCACACCACACUAUAUAUAUUCUUUCUAUAUUACAUGUAGAGUUCUUAAAGGAGACUGACACACAGGCAUAGCAGAACAAGGCCCCAAUCUAGUCUUCCAGUAGCUGCUUGUAGAAGGCCGCAAAUAUGGCACACAGUGGCCCUUGACCUGCACAGCUGCCUAUCAGCCAGUGACAGCCAUUGUGGGGCAGUGGGCUUGGAUCGGACUUCCCUGCAGUGCAAGGGAAUUUGUAUCAGUAUAGCAUGGCAAGUCGCAGCCCUCAUGCAAAUGCUCGAGUUUUAGAAAGUAAAUUACAAAAAGUGCUGACCUUGCAAGAGCAUUUAUUUUCUAGACAUGUCAACAGAGCAGUGUGUGUAGAUAUAAAUAUUUAGAUAUUGAUAUUUAAAAUGUGUGUAGAGGGAGGGAAGCAGCGCCUUGGAGAAAGUUCUCAACUCAGGGUGAGUGUGACAGUAUGUAACGAGAAAACGUUAGAGUGCAAAUUAUAGUGUAGUAUGUUGGAAGUUGGGUAGAAAAACAAUUUAAUUGCAAUUACAGUGUGUGGAGCAGAUAGUACCUCCACCUUUUUGUGUCUAGGCUUUUUAAUUCCUGCUAGCAGAUAUGUAUUCAAUGUCUUGGUCCAAUAGGGAAUGAUCCAGAAGUAGUUAUUGGAGCUUAC